GAUGAACGCUGGCGGCGUGCUUAAUACAUGCAAGUCGAGCGAACAGAUGAGGCGUUUGCUCCUCUGACGUUAGCCGCGCACGUGUGAGUAACACGAGGAUAAUCCACCUAUAAGACUGGGAUAAUUUCGGGAAACCGGCGCUAGUACCGGAUAAUCUCCUGAACCGCAUGGUUGAAUAGUGAAAGACGGCUUUGCUGUAACUUAUCGAUGCAUCUGCGCCGCGUUAUCUAGUUGGUAGGGUAACGGCUUUUCAAGGCAACGCUGCGUAGCCGACUUGCGAGGGUGUUCGGGCACACAGGAGCUGAGAGGCGGUACAGGCUCCGACGGGAGGCAGCAGUAGCGAAUCUACCGCGAUGGGCGGAAGCUUGACGGAGCGACGGCGCGUGAGUGAUGAAGGUCUGCGGACCGUAAAACUCUGUUAUGAGGGAAGAACGAAUGUGUAAGUAACUAUGCACGUCUUGACGGUACCGAUUCAGAAAGCCACGGCUAACUACGG
rnacentral:rRNA from 1 species